rfam:Fukomys damarensis contig139936, whole genome shotgun sequence.
AGAUAUGAGGGUGAUCUGGCUGUGACAUCUGUCACCCCAUUGAUCAUCAGGUUUGAUUCAGUUGAUCUGGCUGGCUAGGUAGGUAUUCCCUUCCUCCCUUACUGCUUCAUGUGCAUUUCUCCCAAAACCGUGUGCUCAGUUGAAGAAGAGGAAGACCCUGAUAGAGGAGGACUGUUUCUUUGGUCAAGGGUAUAUGAGUAUCUGCACUCCCCUGCUAGAACCUCCAAAAAAGCUCUCAAGAAAUGUCUGUUCAUUUCAGAUGUCUAUUUUUGAAUUGGAUCUUUAUAUUUGGGGGAUCUAGUCUUUUAAAGUUCUUU